UCCCUUCUUUGGUACUUAUAAUAACGUAGUUGUUAGGUUACUUGAAUUGUGUCUCUGAACUGUUGAAAUAUUGAUUUGGAGGCUGCUAUUUCCACAAUGUUGUAACAAGUUAUUGUUAGGAAUAUUUCCUAGUUAGAUUUCUUGGUUCUUUAUUAAGUUUUCUUUGGCAAGUUUGUAUCUAAUAUUAGUAUAAUGAUGGGAAACACCCUAGCGGAGAGUCUCUAUUUUUAAGAUUUAAACUCAUCUUGCAUUGUUGUGGAAUUGGUUGGGAUGAUUUCAUGAUGAAUAUUGAAGAUCCAAUCACUAUUAAGUAGGGGAUAUACUAUAUAUUUGAUGGCUGGAUUUUUACAUAUUUGUCAGGUUACAUGAUUUAGUGGUUGAAUUUAUAUACAUGUCGUAUUGUAUGACGGCAGACAAUUCGAAUGAUAUUUUUACUAGAAAAUAGCUAGUUGCGAUGAGUUCGUAUUGAAAAGCACAAUCAAUAGAUGCUUAUUGGAGUUAACAUAAUCCAUAGAUGCUUAUUGGAGUUAACUAAGUGCUGUCAAAGAUUAAUGUGGAAAUGUUUCUCAAAGAAGCAAAAUAGAUAGUUUUAUCAAAAAGACAAAAAAAAAAGAAGCAAAAUAGAUAGUAUGGUUCGUGAAUGGGCAGAUUGUGGGCCUGUUGGGAAUUAUGAUAGGCACUAAGAUGGCAUAGGACCACUAGGGUGGGGGAGAUGAGUGCUGAAACGGGCUUACACGAAGAGAGGGGGAGUGGCAGUGGAGAGCCUCUGAGCUCAUUGGGGGUGGUAAAUAUGGUUGUCAUGUAUAUAUUCAUGUGUGGGGGUGGAUUCCUCCUUUUUAGGAGGGUCAAGGCAUGGAGGCCACCCUUGCAUAGCGUGCCAAGGACAAGUGGGUUAUCCCCUUGACCUAACUCUGCCAAUGUUCAAGUUUUCGGAUCAUAUUAAGCAGUUACAAUGUACAAGUGGUAGGUAUGAUACACCUUACGAGGCAUCUCAUGUCUUGGUAAAAUUUGGCCUUGUCUUCAUUUGGAUUGUCUCUCUUUCCAAGACUUUCGUUCAAGGUGGCAGGGCACCUUGAUGAUUCUCAACUCUAGCCUUUAAGUCACAAAUCUUUUGAGAUCCUAAGCUUUGGUCAAGGCUUGCUUGGGCGGCCCAUGACUGAGGCACCAACCCCGAGGUGGUUCUUAGGCCCUUUUCCUGACAUAAGCAAACAUAACAACAGAAGGGUGCCAUUUGGAGUGGAGAACUACUUAAGUGAAUUGAGGAGGCCUAGUGCAAGUGUUUGUAGGUACAUGCUAGGGUGGAGAGCCACUUGGUCGAGCCGAGGGGUGCUGAGUGUGUCAAUCAUGAGUGGAGGGUGACAUGCUCGAGAUGAGAGUCACUUGGCCAAAAGUGAGUGUGCCUAUGCAAGCGACUCUGGAAAUGCCCUAUGCCUCAUGGCUCAACCCUGGAGGGGGGAGCAUAUGGAGAUGUGAUUGGUCCACAUCUCAUCCUAGGAGACUUGGCAUGUGGACUAGUGGACCUCAAGUUGUGGAGAUGGUGAUGUGGUUCAUCAUGGAGGAGAUAUGGACACAUGUACCUACAUGUAUACACUUAACGGGCGUGUGAUAGUAAUGUGCUUAUACCAAGAGACUUGCCAACCUCUAACCAAGCUCUGAAGGUGAUGCCUUAAAACUGUAUAUACAUGUGUUGAUUUAUUUUGAUAGCAUUUAGUUUCAACGUUAGUCUUGGUGAAACAAAAUGUUUGCUCUACAAUUCUGUUAUGUUUACUGUGGAUAUAUUGUGACUCUGAAGAGAAUCUUUUGGAAAAAGUAAGGCUCAUUUUUUGAAGGUUUUUGUCCAUAUGUUUCCUUUUUUCUUUUUCUUAUGGCAACUUAUGACGGAAGAUAAUAUGAUUUCAAACAUUUCCUGCCACUUCCUGCCCCCUCUUUUAGUAAAGCAGUAUAAAGUAGUGGGAUGUGGCUUAUUUUUUGAAGGGUUUUUGUCUCUACGUUACCCUUUUUCUAUUUAUUGUGGCAACUUAUGAGAGAAGAUUAUAGUAUUUGAAACUCUUCCAAAUCCUUCUCUUAGAAAAGUGGGAUAAAACAAUUGGCUAUGCAGGAUAUCUUUGUUUGUGUUACCUUCUAUUUAAUGCAUUAUAUUAUCAAGAUAUUUUGAUAAUGCAGUGAGAUUCUUAUUUUUGCAAUAUUACCUUACACUCAUCUAUUGCAUUGUAUUCAUUUCAGUUGUUUACGUUAUGUCUCUUACAUGAUUAAUGAGUGAUUAUUAGCAUUAUACCUUUGUCAUUUUGCUCACAUUCAAUUGGUAAUUGAUUAGAAACCUUUUUCUAUUUUGCUGUGCUUCUCCCACUCUCUGUAGUGAGGAAAAAAUGGUUAGAACCUAUGUUAAAUGGCUUGGUUAUGUAAUUUUAGAUGUUGGUAUGUUUCUAAGUGUUUGUUUCGUCCAAUUCAUAAAGUCCAAGAUUCCAAGGACAUUGGGAUGUGGCUAAACGAUGAGAGUUCUUAGUAGUCAUCAUUUAUUUCCAUUGGUAUAAUGUGUUUUGUCUACAUAGACUGUUUAACUGGGGCACUUCAUUUAUUUUGAAAUAAAUAAAUAACAUAAUAAGGGAGAUUUAUGUAAAUUACACAAUAAAUUUGGAUUACUUUACUGUAUCCCAAGUAGAUGUGGUGGACAUAUUCCAUGCUCUCUCACUCACUUAUGUUUGACAUAAGGUACUGGCAAAAGGUGGGUUUGUUUUCUAUGGUCCCUUUCCCCGCGCUACUGCUGGCUUCGGUGGGAUUAUUACCCCCACUCCCGCCUUUAUGGGUAUCCACAUUGAGUCGGGUUAUUUCGAGUGGAGUUAUUUUUCAUUUUUAUAAGUAAAUUAAUUAAUCUCAUUAAAAUAAAACAUUAUAAAUCAAAUCUUCGCAUUACAAGCCAUCACCAAGUAUAACAAUACAACAAUUGACGUUUAAAACGUAAAAAUAAAAGUAUGGCUUAUAUAUUUUAGUGGAUUUUAAUAUACUUGGGUUGGGGUUGUGGUUGGGCACCCCUCUGCCCCUAAACCUUCAUCGGGUUAGGGGAAACCCACAUAUUUCGGGAACAUAUGGUGAAGCAAGUUAAAUGAUCCUGCUCUUACUGUAUUUCCAUCUCACACUUCAACUAUUUGGAUCAUCAUAUGGUGAAGCAAUUUAGAUGAUCGUACUUGUAUCGUGUUUCCAUGUAAAUUUGAUAUCAUGUGCCUAAUUUUUUUGGGUUUAUAACGUUACAAUCCAAGUCCAGUUUCUAGUGUUUUAGGGUUAACAUUGUCUAACAUUCCACAUUAAUUGAGCAAGUUGGAGAUUAAUCAUUUCUUAGUUUCAUGGCCAUGUUAUUAUUUUCCUAACCAUUCUUGAUUUUUCACAUAUUUUCUCUGUCGAUCCUUUCCAUUCCCUUCUUCUGGGAUAUGGUUUUUGUCUGUUAAGCUUUGGUGUUUCUUAUCAUUGUCUUCCUAAUUUGUGGAACUCCUUGUUGAUGCAUGAGAAUAGUUUGAGUAGAAGAGAUGAUGAUUCUUUUCACCACUUUGUGGUUGUUUUCAGAUUCUACAUUCUAAAAUUCUUUUUGCCACUUUGUGAUUGUUUUGCACAAGACUCUUUAGUUGAAGCAUGUUUCCUCAAGAGGAUUUGGCAAUAGUUUUCAAUUUGCUGCCAAUGCCUCUACACUUCGGUUCCAUCUUCUGUCUCUUGACAAUUACAAUCACUCCAUCUCUGACUAUUUAUUACAUGCCAAAUUCUUGCCUGAUUCCUUGAUUUCUAUUAGACAACUUGUGUCCAAUGCUGAUUUGGUGACAUAUGUUCUUUGUGGCUUAGGAUUGGGUUAUGAGAUGAUUACGCCUGCUACUUUGUAUUUUCCACCUUUACCUUCCUCUCAGUAUCUGCGGGCUUGCUUAUUGCCCUUUGAGGCUCAGACUUUGCUUCCUUCAUCGCCCCCUCAGAGAUUGCCCUUUUGGCUUAACAGGAUUUUGUUCCUUCUAGGGUUUCCACUACUACUUCUGCCCCUGAUACAACCUUAGCACUGGCAGCCAGAAUUGAAAUUGUCACUGUGAGUGCACCAACCAUUGUGGUUUGCUUCCAACUCCUAGUUCUCUUGCCUCUGUUUGUUAGUUAUGCAACAGUACUAGACAUGUCGCCCUUCAGUAUCCUUGUUGGUGAGCUCACCCUACUUCUUAUGCUCUCCAUCAUGCCUUUGCUGGUCUCCAGUUGACUCAGUCCUCUUCUUCAUCUCCAUACUUGACAUUUGGCUAUCAACUACAGGCUUCACCAAGAAUCGUGCCGCAUAUUGGACUUGGUUCAGUUUAUCUUGGCUACGGUACUCAUCUCCCUAUCCCCGGAACGGGCUUAUGCAAGG